rnacentral:rRNA from 1 species
AGAGUUUGAUCCUGGCUCAGAGCGAACGCUGGCGGCGUACUUAACACAUGCAAGUCGAACGGGGAUCGCGGCGUGAGCAAUCACAUGGCGGUCCUAGUGGCGCACGGGUGAGUAACACGUGGGUAACCUGCCCAGGGGACCGGGAUACCCUCUCGAAAGGGAGGCUAAUACCGGAUACGUUCCUCGGAUCGCGGGAUCUGGGGAGGAAAAGGUGGCGCAAGCUGCCGCUCUUGGAGGGGCUCGCGGCCUAUCAGCUAGUUGGUGAGGUGAUGGCUCACCAAGGCGAUGACGGGUAGCUGGUCUGAGAGGACGACCAGCCACACGGGGACUGAGACACGGCCCCGACUCCUACGGGAGGCAGCAGUGGGGAAUUUUCCGCAAUGGGCGAAAGCCUGACGGAGUGACGCCGCGUGGGGGACGAAGGCCUUCGGGUCGUAAACCCCUGUCAGAGGGAAAGAAGGGUGUCGGCGCGAUAACCGCCGGCAUCUGACGGUACCUUCAGAGGAAGCCCCGGCCAACUCUGUGCCAGCAGCCGCGGUAAGACAGAGGG